rnacentral:rRNA from 1 species
UGGGGAAUUUUGGGACAAUGGGCGAAAGCCUGAUCCAGCAAUGCCGCGUGUGUGAAGAAGGCCUUCGGGUUGUAAACCGCUUCAGCAGGGACGAAGCGUGAGUGACGGUACCUGCAGAAGAAGCACCGGCCAACUACGUGCCAGCAGCCGCGGUGAUACGUAGGGUGCGAGCGUUGUCCGGAAUUAUUGGGCGUAAGAGCUCGUAGGUGGUGAUCGCGUCGAAAGUGAAACCUCAGGGCUUAACCCUGAGCGUGCUUUCGAUACGGGUCGACUAGAGGAAGGUAGGGGAGAAUGGAAUUCCUGGUGGAGCGGUGGAAUGCGCAGAUAUCAGGAGGAACACCAGUGGCGAAGGCGGUUCUCUGGACCUUUCCUGACGCUGAGGAGCGAAAGCGUGGGAGCAAACAGGCUUAGAUACCCUGGUAGUCC